rnacentral:lncRNA from 1 species
UGGUCCGGCGAGCGCACGUCCGGUGCUCCCCUCUGGCGGAAAUACUAGGCUUUAGAAUUUCACCAUAUGAAUUUUGGGAGAGAGGAGCACAGUUCAGCCCAUAACUAACACACGUGAUGAAGAAGACAUGCCAACAGAGGGUUAAUUCCAGAUAAAAUGAAAUGUUCCAAACAGUACGUUUGGUUAUUUGAUUCAUCUGUGGGGGAAGGAAAGAUAAUUUUCCAAAGGACAUUCCUCCUAAAUUCUGUCUUAAAGUUGUUUACGGAAUGAAGUUGAUAAUAGUGAGACCUUGUUGGUACAAGACUAUGUAACAUAACCUGCGCUUCUCAACAAAGAAUUGCUUUUCUGACUUCUGCACUCAAUAGCAAGACAAAUCUCUCCUCUGCCUUCUCCUUAUCAGACUACUCAACAUGAAGGCAAUAAGAAUGAAGACCUCUAUGUAUAAUAAUUGACUUCCACUUAAUAAAUACCUGAACAGAUGUUGAGUACAAGCUGAUCCACCUACGUUCAACCUGAGAGAGUCCACAUCCACAGACUGUUUCAUUUCCCUUUUUCAAUUUACAUAGAAGCAUAGAUUCUUGCUGGCAUAUACAAAUGCGCCAUUUAAGGCAAUCAAAAAUGGUUCCACAUCUCAUCUGAUUUCCACAAUUGUUGCUGUAACGAUGGACUACUGAGGAGAGAGACAAUUUCUCUGGCACAUCUUCCCACAUUUUAGCAACAUGUUCAUGGAGAGCCAAUAUUCAGUAAUUACAGCCCAAUUCCUCACAAUUUCACAAUUCGCUAACAAUAUGCAUUUUCACAAUGUAAAGCUGAUUUUCCUUUAACCAAAUCAAACAUGAAAAGAUAGCUGCAUGCAAUGGGCAAUCUAGAUCAUUAGAAGAUUGAUGUAAAAUUAGAGGACACUGAGACUGGAAUAGAUUGCAAACUUCAGGGAGCUCAGAAAACUUGUAAACUCUACAUUUUGAGGAAAUAUGUUGUCGAUGCUUUUGCAACUCUAUGCAGUAACUUAACAAAUAAAGCCUUAAAGUAACU